UUUUAUGGAGAGUUUGAUCCUGGCUCAGGAUGAACGCUGGCGGCGUGCCUAAUACAUGCAAGUCGAGCGAACGGACGAGAAGCUUGCUUCUCUGAUGUUAGCGGCGGACGGGGGAGGAACACGUGGAUAACCUACCUAUAAGACUGGGAUAACUUCGGGAA
rnacentral:rRNA from 1 species